rnacentral:rRNA from 1 species
GAUGAACGCUAGCGGGAGGCUUAACACAUGCAAGUCGAGGGGCAGCAUAGGGUAGCAAUACUCUGAUGGCGACCGGCAAACGGGUGAGUAACGCGUAUGCAACCUACCCUGUACAGGGGGAUAACCCGGAGAAAUUCGGACUAAUAUCCCGUAAUAAUAUCCGGAGGCAUCUUUGGAUAUUUAAAGUUCCGACGGUACGGGAUGGGCAUGCGUAACAUUAGCUGGUGGGUAAGGUAACGGCUUACCAAGGCUAUGAUGUUUAGGGGUCCUGAGAGGGUGGUCCCCCACACUGGUACUGAGACACGGACCAGACUCCUACGGGAGGCAGCAGUGAGGAAUAUUGGUCAAUGGGCGCAAGCCUGAACCAGCCAUCCCGCGUGCAGGAAGACGGCCCUAUGGGUUGUAAACUGCUUUUCCAGGGAGAGAAACUUACGCACGUGUUGCGUGACUGACGGUACCCUGGGAAUAAGCAUCGGCUAACUCCGUGCCAGCAGCCGCGGUAAACA